AGUUUGAUCCUGGCUCAGAUUGAACGCUGGCGGUAUGCUUAACACAUGCAAGUCGAACGGAAACGAUACUAGCUUGCUAGUAGGCGUCGAGUGGCGGACGGGUGAGUAACGCGUAGGAAUCUGCCUGAUAGUGGGGGAUAGCCCGAAGAAAUUCGGAUUAAUACCGCAUAAUCUAUUCGUAGUAAAGUGGGGGACUUUCGAGCCUCACGCUAUCAGAUGAGCCUGCGUAAGAUUAGCUAGUUGGUAGGGUAAAAGCCUACCAAGGCUACGAUCUUUAGCUGGUCUGAGAGGAUGAUCAGCCACAUCGGGACUGAGACACGGCCCGAACUCCUACGGGAGGCAGCAGUGGGGAAUAUUGGACAAUGGGGGCAACCCUGAUCCAGCAAUACCGCGUGUGUGAAGAAGGCCUGAGGGUUGUAAAGCACUUUCAAUUGUGAAGAAAAGUUAACGGUUAAUAACCGUUAGCCUUGACGUUAACUUUAGAAGAAGCACCGGCUAACUCCGUGCCAGCAGCCGCGGUAAUACGGAGGGUGCAAGCGUUAAUCGGAAUUACUGGGCGUAAAGCGUGCGUAGGCGGUUUAUUAAGUCAGAUGUGAAAGCCCCGGGCUUAACCUGGGAACUGCAUUUGAAACUGGUCAACUAGAGUAUGGUAGAGGAAAGUGGAAUUUCUGGUGUAGCGGUGAAAUGCGUAGAUAUCAGAAGGAACAUCAAUGGCGAAGGCAGCUUUCUGGACCAAUACUGACGCUGAGGUACGAAAGCGUGGGUAGCAAACAGGAUUAGAUACCCUGGUAGUCCACGCCGUAAACGAUGAUAACUAGCCGUUGGGGGGAUUUACCCUUUAGUGGCGAAGCUAACGCGUUAAGUUAUCCGCCUGGGGAGUACGGCCGCAAGGUUAAAACUCAAAGGAAUUGACGGGGACCCGCACAAGCGGUGGAGCAUGUGGUUUAAUUCGAUGCAACGCGAAGAACCUUACCUGGUCUUGACAUCCUGCGAACUUUCUAGAAAUAGAUUGGUGCCUUCGGGAACGCAGUGACAGGUGCUGCAUGGCUGUCGUCAGCUCGUGUCGUGAGAUGUUGGGUUAAGUCCCGUAACGAGCGCAACCCCUAUCCUUAUUUGCCAGCACGUCAUGGUGGGAACUAUAAGGAGACUGCCGGUGAUAAACCGGAGGAAGGCGGGGACGACGUCAAGUCAUCAUGGCCCUUACGACCAGGGCUACACACGUGCUACAAUGGGAAGGACAAAGAGCCGCGAAGCCGCGAGGUGUAGCUAAUCUCAGAAACCUUUUCGUAGUCCGGAUUGGAGUCUGCAACUCGACUCCAUGAAGUCGGAAUCGCUAGUAAUCGUAGAUCAGAAUGCUACGGUGAAUACGUUCCCGGGUCUUGUACACACCGCCCGUCAAGCCAUGGAAGUCGGCAGUACCCGAAGCCGGUGUCCCAACUCUUCGGAGAGGGAGCCGUCGAAGGUAAGGCUGGUAACUAGGGCUAAGUCGUAACAAGGUAACC
rnacentral:rRNA from 1 species